CAGUAGCCGCGGUAAUACGGAGGGGGCUAGCGUUGUUCGGAAUUACUGGGCGUAAAGCGCACGUAGGCGGCUUUGUAAGUCAGAGGUGAAAGCCCGGGGCUCAACCCCGGAAUUGCCUUUGAGACUGCAUCGCUUGAAUCCAGGAGAGGUGAGUGGAAUUCCGAGUGUAGAGGUGAAAUUCGUAGAUAUUCGGAAGAACACCAGUGGCGAAGGCGGCUCACUGGACUGGUAUUGACGCUGAGGUGCGAAAGCGUGGGGAGCAAACAGGAUUAGAGACCCCUGUAGUCCCUGUCUCUUAUAC
rnacentral:rRNA from 1 species